AGUCAAUGUGACUUCACGGCAUCCAUAUAGUGUUGGUUAUAAAAUUUUGAAUCUAGGAAAAUAACGGAUGUUCUAAUGUGAUACUGAAGAAUCGUGAUCACAAUUUAAUGUUGAAAUUACGGAUUAGUGAGAUGACUUACAAAUACUGCACGAAGUGCAACACGUUCCUGAAAAACAUACGAAUUGAAAAUGUUAGUCAAUGUUUACUUCAACGCAGCUUCGCGAGCACCCGGCCGACCAAUGCAGCGACCGAGGGGCGGCGCAGCGAGCUGUUCUCGCGGGAGCAGAGGCGGCAGUAUGAAGCAGUGGGGCGAAUAGAGAAGAUCGAGGUGACAUGCACGGGAGGGCCGGAGGAUGCCAAGCUGCUCAUGAACAAGAACAUUUCGACGCCCCACGACUGCGCGCAACAUCUGUCUCAGAUGAUGGUCCAGCGGUCGGCGCUGGCCCAGGUGGACCAGGGCGCCCUGUGGGACAUGCACCGCCCGCUGGAGUCCCCCUGCCAGCUGCGGCUGCUGAGCCUCAGGGACCCGGACCCCCGCCACGUGAACAAGGCCUUCUGGCGGACGUGCUGCUUCCUGCUGGGCGCGGUGGCCGAGCGCCUCUUCAAGGACGACGUGCGUGCGCUGCUGCACAGCUUCCCCUCCCCCAGCGUUAAAAGUGGCAGCUUUGUUUAUGAUGUUGAUGUUGGAUUGGACGAUUGGAAACCCAGUGAGAGCGAGCUGCGAGCGGUGUCCGGGGAGAUGGUGCGGCUGGCUCGCGAGGGUAGGCGGCUGGAGCGGCUGGUCGUGGCCGCAGACCUGGCCCUCGACAUGUUCCGCGACAACCCCCACAAGUGCGCCCAGAUCCCCAGCAUCGCGUCACAGCUGUCGGGCGUAAUGGCUCACGGAGGAUGUGCAGGUGACCACGUGGUGCUGUACCGCUGCGGGCAGCACGUGGACCUGAGUCGCGGCCCCAUGGUGGCCGACACCAGCUUCCUGGGUCGCUGCACCGUCACCGCCGUGCACAGGGUGGAGAGAGAAGGCAGAAGUUUGUACAGGUUUCAAGGCGUAGCUCUGCCGAAAGGAAUCUUGGGAAUUUCUCUUGCAGCAAAGAUGUCAUUUUUUUAUUACGUUUGGGCUCUUGGAUAUGUAUGACCCAUGAACAGCAGCAAAUACGACUUCGAACUGCAUUACUUUAUCCAACCACUCGGGUGAAGGUAUCCUAAAUCACUUUGCCUACAGCAUACUGGAAAAGAGAGCCAGAAAUUUGAACCCCGCCGCGCUGCAAGACCACGAUCAAGGCACGGACCAGUCCGGACAACACGAGCAGCAUGAGGCGGCGGCCCAGCAGAGCGUGUGAAGCAUUCUUGCUGCGUUCGUUUCAUGACUCUUUGUA